AGAGUUUGAUCUCUGGCUCAGGAUGAACGCUGGCGGCGUGCCUAUUACAUGCAAGUCGAACGAAGAGAUGAAGCUAAGCUUGCUUAGCAUCUGAUCUUAGUGGCGAACGGGUGAGUAAUACAUAAACAACCUGCCCCGAUGUCUGGGAUAACAGUUGGAAACGACUGCUAAUACCGGAUAAGUUACCUGAAGGCAUCUUCAGAAAACGAAAGAUGGGAUACAUCGCAACGGGAUGGAUUUAUGGCGCAUUAGUUAGUAGGUGAGGUAACGGCUCACCUAGACGAAGAUGCGUAGCCGGCCUGAGAGGGUGACCGGCCACACUGGGACUGAGACACGGCCCAGACUCCUACGGGAGGCAGCAGUAGGGAAUUUUCGGCAAUGGGGGAAACCCUGACCGAGCGACGCCGCGUGAGUGAAGAAGGCCUUCGGGUUGUAAAGCUCUGUUGUAAGGGAAGAAAUGUACGGAUAGGGAAUGAUCUGUGCUUGACGGUACCUUACCAGAAAGCCACGGCUAACUACGUGCCAGCAGCCCGCGGUAAUACGUAGGUGGCAAGCCGUUAUCCGGAAUUAUUGGGCGUAAAGGGAGCGCAGGCGGCUUAUUAAGUCUGAGGUUAAAGUUCGGGGCUCAACCCCGUGAUCCCUUAGAAACUGGUAGGCUAGAGUGCAGGAGAGGUGAGUGGAAUUCCAUGUGUAGCGGUAAAAUGCGUAGAUAUAUGGAGGAACACCAGUGGCGAAGGCGGCUCACUGGCCUGUAACUGACGCUGAGGCUCGAAAGCGUGGGGAGCAAAAAGGAUUAGAUACCCUAGUAGUCCACGCCGUAAACGCCCAAAACUAAGUGUUAGGAUAGAAUCUCAGUGUUGUAGAUAGCGGCAAUAAGUAUCCCCGGCCUGGGGGGUAUGCGCGCAAGCGUAAAACUCAAAGGAAUUGACGAGGGCCCGCACAAGCGGUGGAGUAUGUGGUUUAAUUCGAUGCAACGCGAAGAACCUUACCUGGUCUUGACAUGCCACGCAAAAGCUUAGAGAUAAGUAAUAGUUAUGGUGGAUACAGGUGGUGCAUGGUUGUCGUCAGCUCGUGUCGUGAGAUGUUGGGUUAAGUCCCGCAACGAGCGCAACCCUUGUCUUUAGUUACCAUCAUUAAGUUGGGGACUCUAAAGAGACUGCCGGUGAUAAACCGGAGGAAGGUGGGGAUGACGUCAAAUCAUCAUGCCCCUUAUGAUCAGGGCUACACACGUACUACAAUGGCAUAUACAGAGGGCAGCGAAAUAGUGAUAUGGAGCGAAUCUCAGAAAGUAUGUCUCAGUUCGAAUUGUUGUCUGCAACUCGACAACAUGAAGUCGGAAUCGCUAGUAAUCGCAGAUCAGAAUGCUG
rnacentral:rRNA from 1 species